rnacentral:rRNA from 1 species
UACGUAGGCGGCAAGCGUUGUCCGGAAUUAUUGGGCGUAAAGGGAGCGCAGGCAGGAAACUAAGCGGAUCUUAAAAGUGCGGGGCUCAACCCCGUGAUGGGGUCCGAACUGGUUUUCUUGAGUGCAGGAGAGGAAAGCGGAAUUCCCAGUGUAGCGGUGAAAUGCGUAGAUAUUGGGAAGAACACCAGUGGCGAAGGCGGCUUUCUGGACUGUAACUGACGCUGAGGCUCGAAAGCUAGGGUAGCGAACGGG